rnacentral:rRNA from 1 species
GAGUUUGAUCCUGGCUCAGGAUGAACGCUGGCGGCGUGCUUAACACAUGCAAGUCGAGCGAAGCGGUUUCGAUGAAGUUUUCGGAUGGAUUUGAGAUUGACUUAGCGGCGGACGGGUGAGUAACGCGUGGGUAACCUGCCUUACACUGGGGGAUAACAGUUAGAAAUGACUGCUAAUACCGCAUAAGCGCACAGGGCCGCAUGGUCCGGUGUGAAAAACUCCGGUGGUGUAAGAUGGACCCGCGUCUGAUUAGGUAGUUGGUGGGGUAACGGCCCACCAAGCCGACGAUCAGUAGCCGACCUGAGAGGGUGACCGGCCACAUCGGGACUGAGACACGGCCCAAACUCCUACGGGAGGCAGCAGUGGGGAAUAUUGGACAAUGGGCGAAAGCCUGAUCCAGCGACGCCGCGUGAGUGAAGAAGUAUUUCGGUAUGUAAAGCUCUAUCAGCAGGGAAGAAAAUGACGGUACCUGACUAAGAAGCCCCGGCUAACUACGUGCCAGCAGCCGCGGUAAUACGUAGGGGGCAAGCGUUAUCCGGAUUUACUGGGUGUAAAGGGAGCGUAGACGGUUUAGCAAGUCUGAAGUGAAAGCCCGGGGCUCAACCCCGGUACUGCUUUGGAAACUGUUAGACUUGAGUGCAGGAGAGGUAAGUGGAAUUCCUAGUGUAGCGGUGAAAUGCGUAGA